rnacentral:rRNA from 1 species
UUCAGGCAAAUCCGCGCAAUAAGCCAAAGGUGUGACGGGGAGCGAAAUUAUAGUAGCGAAGUCCGGAUACAUGCUGUCAAGAAAAGCCGCUAUUGCGCCAUAUGUACCCGUACCGUAAACCGACACAGGUGGAUGAGGAGAGAAUCCUAAGGCCGGCGGGAGAAGUGUUGUUAAGGAACUCGGCAAAAUGGCCCCGUAACUUCGGGAGAAGGGGCGCCCAGAAAUGGGACGCAGAGAAAAGGCUCAAGCAACUGUUUAGCAAAAACACAGGUCUAUGCGAAACCGAAAGGUGAGGUAUAUGGGCUGACGCCUGCCCGGUGCUGGAAGGUUAAGGGGAGAGGUUAGCCGCAAGGCGAAGCUUUGAACUUAAGCCCCAGUAAACGGCGGCCGUAACUAUAACGGUCCUAAGGUAGCGAAAUUCCUUGUCGGGUAAGUUCCGACCCGCACGAAAGGCGUAAUGAUUUGAGCACUGUCUCGACAACACACCCGGUGAAAUUGAAAUACCAGUGAAGAUGCUGGUUACCUGCGCCAGGACGGAAAGACCCCAUGGAGCUUUACUCUAGUUUGAUACUGGGACCCGGUAUGACAUGUACAGGAUAGGUGGGAGGCAGAGAAUUAAUGACGCCAGUCAUUAAGGAGCCGCUGUUGGGAUACCACCCUUGUGAUGCCAGGUUUCUAACGAGCUGCCGUGAACCGGCAGGCGGACAAUGUCAGGCGGGGAGUUUGACUGGGGCGGUCGCCUCCGAAAGGGUAUCGGAGGCGCUCAAAGGUUCCCUCAGAAUGGUUGGAAACCAUUCGGAGAGUGCAAAGGCAGAAGGGAGCCUGACUGCGACACCGACGGGUGGAGCAGGUACGAAAGUAGGACUUAGUGAUCCGGUGGUAUAAAGUGGGAUUGCCAUCGCUCAACGGAUAAAAGCUACCCUGGGAUAACAGGCUUAUCACUCCCAAGAGUUCACAUCGACGGAGUGGUUUGGCACCUCGAUGUCGGCUCAUCGCAUCCUGGGGCUGGAGUAGGUCCCAAGGGUUGGGCUGUUCGCCCAUUAAAGCGGUACGCGAGCUGGGUUCAGAACGUCGUGAGACAGUUCGGUCCCUAUCCGGCGCGGGCGUAAGAGAUUUGAGAGGAGCUGUCCUUAGUACGAGGGGACCGGGAUGGACGGACCACUGGUGUAUCUGUUGCACCACCAGGUGCACGGCAGAGUAACCAAGUCCGGACGGGAUAAACGCUGAAGGCAUCUAAGCGUGAAGCCCCCUCAAGAUGAGAUCUCUCAUUCGAAAGAAGUAAGACCCCUUGAAGACGACGAGGUAGAUAAGGCAGAGGUGGAAGGGCAGUAAUGUCCGGAGCUGACUGUUACUAAUCGGUCGAGGGCUUGACC